UCAAAUUAGUUCUCUCUAAAGCUUCCCUUUAAUUUACGGUUUUAAACCUUCUCUAGUUCUAGUUUGUGAGUAAAUUGCGAGAGACCAAAAAUGAGUGUGGAGAUUUUGGAUGGUGCCACCAUUGUCAACUUUCUAGAGGACGAGGAAGCAUUCAACGCGCAAAUAUGUGACCGCUUCGCCCACCUUGAUUCAGACCAUGAUGGCCGGCUUUCCUACGGGGAAAUGUUGAAGGAGCUGCAGUGUUUGAGGUUAUUGGAAACCCACUUCGGCGUGGAUGUGGAAACAGACCCGGAUGAGCUUGCUCUCGUCUAUGAUUCUCUUUUUGUCCAAUUUGAUCAUGACUUGAAUGGGACAGUGGACUUGGAAGAGUUCAAGUCAGAGACCAAGCAAAUGAUGCUAGCCAUGGCCAGUGGUAUGGGUUUCUUGCCUGUUCAGAUGGUCCUGGAAGAAGACAGUUUCCUGAAGAAGGCUGUGGAGUGGGAAUCUGCUAAACUCGUUGCCUGAUUAAUUUCACAUCCAUUACCCUAUACAUGACUCAUUAAUUGUCUUUGUUAUUUCUUUCUUCUCCGAAUGCAUUCCAAGUUUAGCUGAAUGUAGCAAAGAAAAUAAAUGAAAUGCUCUGUUAUUGGUGAAGGUGCAAUUUGGUAUCUUAAAACUUGGUUCUCUCCUCAUGCAAUUUGGUCAUGACCAUCCAGCCAUAGUUAAUAUAACAAAAGGGAAUGGAAUUGGUAGAACAGAGUUGAAUCAAAAUGGGAAAAGAACUUGCGUGUGUCACGUCCAGGGGAACAGAUAAAAAUUAAAGAAAUACUGUCCUAAUAUAAAGUCCAGUUAAAUAAAAACUUGCAGGCGAAUCUGCCGUGCAAUUUAACUAGAUUUUGCGCUCUAAACACCUAAUUCCAUCAUGAUUUGUUUAGCAUGCGUAUGAAACAAACUUCCCACAUUGGAUCACAAAAACAAUGACAUCUCAGGAGAUGGAAUGAAAGAGAGAAUGCUUUCACCAAACAGCUCAAACAGGGAUACCAGAAGAUGCUCAUUAUUCAAGUCUUCAUUCAAACCUUGUUGAGAAUGUGAUGCGGAACAAUAAAUCAAAAAUAAAAAUAAAAAAUUAAAGUAGUAAAGAAUGAAGCUUUACAGAAAUAAGUUAAGAAUUAAAAGUAAAGCAAGGGAAAAGCCAGGGGAAAAAAAAAGAAUUGAAGAAGAAAAGUCUAUCAUUAUUAUUUAAUCAUAAAAAACUCUCCCAAAAAGUGAAAGAGAAACAUAUAAAUAGCAUAACCUUACAAUAUCCACUUAUUGGGUUCAACUCAUCAAUUAAAAUUUUCUAACAUAAAUAAGUCAAAUUAAUAAAAUAAAACAAUGAAAUAGGCCCAAAUGAGCUCAGUCUCCCAACCAAAAAGUGACAGGCUAGGUCAUUUUAUGUCGUCUUUGUCUAUAUACUCGUGUAAUUUGUGGUGUAAGUCUAAAGUCCCCACCAACUCUCCUAAUGUAGCUCUGGGUGACCUUGAUAACACUCCCAAAGUUCUGGAUCAAUCUGCUACAAAGUAUCUAUGGUGAUCUAAGUACAAUUUGAAUCAGGUCGGCCAACCCAAGAGUUAGAAACAGUUGAACCUCACUAUUCCAAGUAAAAAAAAACUUGUUCAUCCAAAAUGACAUCAAUAUUAUCCUUUUGUGUUCAGAUCAAGGUCAAAGGGGUAGAGGUUUCAAUAGGAUCAUCAAGAGGAGAGUUAGGUGGCAUCUCAAAUGGAUCAUUUGGAAUAGGAUGUUGUUUCUGGUAUGCAACUAAAUCCGCAGUGCUAAAUGUAAAGUUAAUGCCAAAAUCAAGUGGUAAAUCAAGAACAUAAACAUUUGGACCAACUCCUUGUAGCACUUUGAAUGGCCCUGCACUACGUGCAUGCAAUUUUCGAUUAGUUCCUGAAGGAAACUACUUGUGUCUAUUCCAUAUAAUAACUUAGUCUCCCACAUUAAAUUUAUUAUAUCAUCUAUGUAAAUAAGCUCAGAGUUUAUAUUGUGCAUUACUUGCUUGAAUUUGCUUAGUGAUCUAAAUAUGCAAAUUCUAAAUUUUACGUGUAAAAAACUUUGUUAACUCAAACACCUUAGUAUGAAGAGAUAUGGGAAGAAGGUUUAAAGGUUUCCUAGGCUUGUAACCAUGUACAACUUCAAAGGGACUCAUGCAAAUUGACCUAUUGACAGAACUCUUAUAUGCAAACUAGGUCAUAGGAAGAACCAAAUCCCAAUUCCUAUUAUGAUAACUCACUAGACACCUCAGAAAGUUGCCUAAUCUGGGUGGUAGGCACUAGAAAACUUCAACUGAGUUCCCACUAUAUGGCGAAGGGUUUUCUAGAAAUAACUCAUAAAUCUAACAUCCUUAUCUAAGACUAUGGUUUGGGGGAAAUCGUACAACUUGACAAUCUCGUUAAAAUAGAGUUCCGCAACUCUAGAAGCAUUUGUGAUCUUAGUACAAAAGAUAAAAUAGGUCAUCUUAGAGAAACAGUCGAAAACCAUAAAAAAGAAUCAUGCUUCUUUGCAGUACGUAGAAGCCCAAUCACAAAAUUCAUACUUACAUUUUGCCAAGGGCAAGUAGGAAAAGGUAACGGGGUGUAAAUACCAAUAUUUUGUUUUUUAUGCUUUGCUAGUUGACAUGUUCAACAUUGACCUCCCAACUUAGCUACAUCUCUUUCAAACUAGACAAAAAAAAUUGAUGUUCCCCCUCUUAAAUGGGUUUAUUUCUUCUAAAGUGUUCUGAAAGACCUCCAAUAUGAAUCUCCCAUACAAACUCCAGCAAGUUUAAAAUUAAAAUCCUACUACAACUUAGAAAAAACAUAGGCGGCUAUCUUUCCUUUAGUUUCAAGGAUAUCUUGGUCACUUUUACUUUUUCAUUACUUCAUAAUCUUCAGAGUAUGAUACCUUAUAGCUUCACGGUUACAAGUCAUUUCCUCAUUACUUUGGGUCUUUAAUGGGUUGUAUGGAAGACUAUAAAUAAGCCUUGAAUCAAUUCUGUAAUAUUUUCUUUCCUUCUCUUCUUCUCAUGGUAAAACAAAGAUUUAAUAUUAUGGGUUUUAUUUUAUUUUGUUUAUGCUUAAUUAAUAUAUUUUUUUCAGCUAGGAUCUAAGGCUUGUUUGGAUCAGGGUUUGGGCUUACUAGUAAAGGUUUUGAGUAAGUUUUUAUAUGUGGGUUAGUUUAGCCCACAAGGGUGGAUCCAUUUGGGUUAAUUUCUUAGAACAAUUUAAACACAUAUAAGCCUAAAUUUCACCAGCGAUUGAUAAAUAAUACUUGUGAAUUUUUUAAUUUUAACAUGUGAGAGAAAUUCUUGUAUUCUAUGGUUCUUAAACGAACUGAAUAUGACUUCUCAAAGUUUAAUUGGCUUCAUGACGUCAUUCGACAUCAUUCCAAUAAUGUUGGUGUCUCAGGAUAGGUUUUUAUUGUGUCACACUUCUAUUAGAUCAAUUUUGGCUUUUUAGGAUCAAAUUUUAAUCUUGAAUGUGGGUUGUGUGACCAUGUAUUCACGAGGUUCACAUCAGUGUUCAAGAGAUGCUAAUAAAUAUCUUUGAGUGGUAAAGGUAUGUCAAUAUUUGAUAAGGGCACUUGAGCAUCCAAUGACAUAGUGAGAUCCAAUUGGACAAGACUCCCAAUCUGAGAGCCAUUUCCCAAUUCAUAUUCUAUCAUACUUUAGAGUUCAUAUAUGGGGUUUCCUCGAAGGUGAUCCAUCCUACCUCAAUAAGCUAGAGGAGCUUGUCUUUAAAAGCAUAACAACUUUCAAUGUUAUGACCACUAGUGCCAUCAUGAUACUCGUAUGUCUAGUUAGUAUUAUACCAUUUUAGAUAUGGGGGUUGAAAUGGUUUCUAGAUAAUCAAAAUAAUUUGUCCAAUAUUGACCAAUCUUUCAAAUAUCUCUUUAAAAGAUAAAGGAAAGAGCGAUAUAGUUUUCUUUAACUAUUGUGACUUUUCAUAUAUUUUCUUAUUAGAUGGAACCUGAUUAGUCAUUUGAGGAGAAUGAUUAGGAUGCUAAGAUAUAGAAUGAUCUUGAUUCAUACUUCUCAUAUAGGAGUUAUCUUUUUAUUUGUCAAACGACAUAGCAUUAAACCUCUCUUCUUUAUUCCAGAUCCUUCUCAAUUUCAAUCCUUGCUCCACACUCUCUACUGUCGUUUUUAUCUCUAUUAAAUAAGCUCAUGAAUUACAAGUUAUGUAAUCACAAUAAGGAGUCUUUGAAGUAUUGAUGAAGAUGGAAUUGAGCUCAUUUUAUAGUAGUGGAGCGUAAACUUGGGUUGUCAUUUGUCGCAGCCUCAUCGCAUAUUCCUUGACUGACUCAUCAUUUCUCAUCUCAAUUCUUUGAAGGUCUAACCUGGUUAGAGCCAUCUUUAAGUUGAAUCCAAAUUGUUGCAGAAAUGCAUCAACCAAGUAUUCUUAUUUCUUCUUUUCAGAGCCAUUUAAAUCCAAGUUGGGUUUUAAAAUUAUGAUAAUAAUCAUUUUUAUCCUUACAUGUCUUAGUUGUAUAAUUUUAAAAUUAAGAGUUUUUUACAAGAAUAUUUUAGAGAAAAAAAAUAACAAAUAUUUUUUCUAGAGACAUGUCCUCUCUAUACCUUCUAUUUUGGAAGUAUAGACAUUCACUCCAAAAUUAUCCGAGGGACAUAUUUAUUUUUAUAUCUUUGUCUCUUCAACCAAAUAUAUUUAUGUCUUCAUUGUCUUCAUCUCUUUUGUUUCAGGACAGUAACCAAACACUAUUUAAUAUACACUAUUUAAACUAUUUUUAGUGAUUUGGAUAUUAGUUAUCUUUUUUGAAUAAAAUUUUAAGAGUCAAGUUUCUCUAUACAACUUUACUAUUUUAUUGUUUAAAGGGUUUUUAAGAAGUAAUAAACCCUAAUACUUUUGGUAAGCUGAAUCAUUUGUAUAAAGAAAGUAUCAUUGUUAACUUGAAUAUUUCAAAAGCUUAAACACCUAAAAAAUGUUAGACUGACAAAUAGACUCCUAAGUAACUAAAUGCUUUUCCUAUGGCCCUUUGAAUUACCCUAUCAUAAUAGAAAGUGAUUCAUCAUGCUAAAGAUAAUCGAGCCGUCUGCCAACCUAACACUACAUUCUGAACUUUUUCCACCGCUCUACUAUAUGUAUUUGUUAACAAGCAUAUGUAACAUAGGAACUCUAAAAUAUUACCCAAUAUUUUUUUGUUAAAGCAAACACUGAAAUGAAUUGAUAUCAAGAGCCACCCUUAAACGAAUAAAACAGUCUGGUUUUUAGCCACACUAACAUUUUUUUACCAAAAAGUUACAAAAGUCCUGUAUGAUAACUUUGAUUUGCUUCAAAUCAAGUUUUGCAAAAAAGAAUUAAGUCACCAACAAAUAUGGAUGACAACUUCACCUGACUCGUUUGCAAUCUAAUGUCAUUCAAUUCAAUUGGAUCAUAUUUUUGUCUAAUUUAUUUGAAAAACAAAUAAAAUUCAAUUCAAUUUGACUAAAGAUGGAUGCGUAGAUUAAUAAAUGGUUCACUUGACCCAUCACUUGACUCAACUUCUACAUGGUUUUUUAACCCUUUUAUAUUUUGUAAAGUUGUAAUUUAUAUUUCAAUAUAGUAUAUGGAUUUUUAUCUUAUUAAGGAUUGUUAUGGUUUUACAUAUAGAUAUAAAGUUUAGACUCUAUUUUAUUGUUUUAUGAUUUAUAGAUGGAUAUUUUUUUUUAAGCUUCAAUUUUAUUUUUUAAAUUUUGAUUAAAAAUAGAACAAUUGGAUCAAAUGAGAUACUUGUCGAAUGAAGAAAGUUCUUCAUCCACUCCAAUCUAAUCCAAUCGUAUAGAAGAUGAAGUCAAGUGCUGGAUUUAGAUAUCUCUGGUUAGAGACAAGAGAGCAAAAUUCAGUUGCAACCCAAUCUAUUAUUGUUUCUGUAAAUAACGAAAAGAUGAGAAAUAAUCGAACUUUUUUACUGAAAUAAACAAAUUCACUCUCUAGUCUCAACCGUAUUGGAUCAAUUUUUCUAUACAUGAAACAAAGGUAUAAGAAUAGAGGAUCUUCUUGUUGAAUACUUUGUGAUGAAGUAUAGGAAUUUGAAAUCUUAGCUUUCCAGCUCACUUAUAACAAAGUCAUUGUGAUACGCUUCAUGAUUAACGAAGUGAAACUAUCUAAAAUACCAUAUCCCUAAUAGCAUUUAGGAUCAAGUCCUACCUCAAACAAUCAUAAACCUUUUUUAGGUCUAUCUUAAUUAUCAUCAAAUAUUUUCUAAUUUUCUUUUAUACAUCUAGAGUUAAGAGCCAAUCAUAUAAUCAUAGUGGUAUUAUUGUGCUUCUUUGAAACAACACAUUGGUACUGACUAGCCAAUAUGUGCCAGUCAAGAGUAUUUGUUAUGAAACUCUGUGUAAACUUCUUAAUUGGUUAGCAUUCUUACUUCAAUGUAAUUAAUUUUUUACGUUCUGAAACUCUCAUAUGAAGCACAUCACGCAUUGCUUUCUUUAUACUUAACUUUUCUUAUAUGCAUGUCUUAUGUGAUAAGGAUAAGGAAAAUCUUCAAGUUUUCUAGUUUGUCGUGUUGGUAACAGACUAUUAACAUAUUUUACAAAAAUAAUGAUAAAGUUAUCUUCAGAUAACUUUUUCUACUCUAUCUGAAUUUAUCUUUUAAAUAACCUAAACUAAUCAGAUAAUUAGAGAGAAGAUAAUGCUAAUUAAUCUUGGUAAACUUCUAUCUUAGCCAAAUUAUCCUUUUACCAACCAUAAAAAGAUCACUAAUCUAAACUAAUAAAAUGACAAUUAUUACAAAGUUGAUCCUGCUAUUCUCUUAGGUCAUUAUCAGAAGGGGGAAAGUAAAGGUCUAAAGGCAAAAGGUCCAAACUUCUAUAUUUAAAAUUAGUUGAAAAUCACACCUUUUUUCUUUAUAAGUGGCAUGUUGAUGACAACUAUGUCACAUUUAGAAAGCAUUAAAUCUAGAUCCUCCUCAAACUUUUUACCUGUUAUAUUCUCCAACUCUUUCUCCAUCUUAAGUUUAUUAUGAUACAGUAGAGUGCAACUGAAAAGCUUCAAACGUUGGAGUAAAAGCCUUCUGAUGCGUCUAGCACCAAUAGUUCCCACCAUCUUACCUUCAAGAUUGUAAGCCCUGUAUGCAAUAGCUGCCACAUUCCACUCUUAUUGAUUGAUAACUUGAUGCUAUCUAAGUAAGAAAUUUUAUACAAGAACAAGGAUUCUCAUGAGCUCAUUUUUUGCAACUGAGACAACAUUGCUUCCUGUGACCUUUAUAGCAGUUAACCCAGCAAUAGCUACUACCUCCAAAUCUAUAUGAUCAGAACCAAUUCUAGUAAUGAGAAGCGCUUUUUUGCCCUCUUGAUCCUUUAUGCCGUAACAUCUGCGGGGUGGAAAGGUGUAGUGAUGAGGACAUGGAGAUCAAGAAUAUGCUUGUCAAGUUCUAUGACAAUUAUACAGUUGAAGAGCAAAAAAUCAACAAUCUAGCCAUCCUAAUAUUCUUGGAAAUAAAAGGCAUAAAUCUAAGAUCUUGAAAUCAUUUAAUGUCAUCACUACAAUUAGGACAUGGAGAUCAGCAGUUAAUCUUAUUGUUAAAGUAAAGGUCUAAAGGAAAAGGAUCCAAACUUCUAUAUUUAAAAUUAAUUGAAAAUCAUACCUUAUUUUCUUUGUAAGUGACAUGUUGAUGACAACAAUGUCAUAUUAAGAAAGCAUUAAAUCUAGAUCCUCCUUAAAAUUUGCCCAUGUCUGAUUCUCCAGCUCUGGCUCCAUCUUAAGUAUAUCAUGAUACAGUAAAGUGCAAUUAAAAGGCUUCAAACGUUGGAGUAAAAUCCUUUUGAUGCGUUAGCACCAACAGUUCCUACUAUCUUUCCUUUAAGAUUGUAAGCCUUGUAUGCAAUAACUGCCACAUUUCACUCCUUAUUGAUAACUUGAUGAUAUCCAGGUAAGAAAUUUCAUACAAGAACAAGGAUUCUCAUAAGCUCAUCUUAUGCAAUGGAGACAACAUUAAAAAGAGUGAAGCACUUAAUAACCUAUAUAUGCAGGAAUACAACUUCAACAAAGAACCUUAAUGCUUAAAAACAACACACUUACAAGCUUGUAGCUCCUCAUACUUUCAGCCUCGUGUGAAGAGAUGGACAAUGAUUGUCAAUGGUGAUCAUAUGCUAUAUUUCUAGCCUGUUGUUCAUAAUAAUUCUAUUAAGGAUUAAAUACUUGAUCAUCUUACAUCUUUUUAUGUGGAGGCCUACUUUAGUUUGUGUUAUGCCAGGUGUGUGUAAUGAGACAUAUAAUGAAUGUUGUGCAAAUAAAAUAUACACUCACUACAAUCCAACCAUUCUUUGUCAUCAGUUACAAUGAACUGGUGACCUUGUGAUUCCAGCCAGUCACCAAUGCCCAAAGCUCUUUCCAAGCAACCCACAAAAUUAGUGUUUGAUCAAAUUUUAAAAAUUAAAAAAAAAUUAAAACCUAUAGAGUAACAAUAAAAAUAUUAUUAAAAACAAAAACAUUAAACCUGGAGUUAAGGGGCUUCUUGGUCUUAGCCUUUUUAUAGAAGUUUUAUUUGUUUUUAAUUGCAUCAUUUAAUUUUAAUUUAUCAAAUAUUAUAUUCUCCAAUUUGGUGCUCAAUCUUUGGGUUUCAAAUUUUUUUACCUUGAACCUUUUGUAUAAGUUUUAUUAGUUUUCAAUUUCAUCUUUCAAUUUAAAUUAAUGGUAUUAUGUUUUCCAAUUUGGUCUUAUUAUUUUGAUUUCUAAUUUUUUUCUUAAUUGUUUUUGUAAAAGUUAUUAUUCUUUUUAAUUUCACUCUUCAAUCAAAACAUUCUUUUGAUUUUUUAUGUUAAUUUUUAUCCUCAUUCUUUAGAAUUUUUUUAUCCUUUUACUAAAUUGAUUUUUUUUUUCAAUCUCACCCUUCAAUCAAAUAUAAAUUUAUUUUAUAUUUUAAUUUUGAUCCUCAUUGUUUUAAUUAUUAUUUUUUAAUCUUUUUGUAUAAGAAAAAUGGUUUUCUAUAAAUAAGUACAUAGGAUAAUUUUAAUAAAUGAUUAAGUAAUCCAUUAAACAUGACGUGGUAAUAAAUAAGUAAAGAAUAUUGCAAGCACCAAGUUCUAAAAGUCCAUCUUUGAAGAAAAGAAAAAAAAUGAAAAAAUUCAGUUAGAACCAUAAUUAAGUCUCUAAGACAACUAUAUGCCCAUUAUUUAAUGUUUGACAAACAACACAUGUAGAAUAGACAACUAUAUGCCCGUAUUUUCAGUAUUUUCAUUUUUGUUGUGUAUUGCGGGGAAAAAAAAAAAAAAAAAGAACAUGGUCGGUCCGUCUUACAAGGAGAAGGGAAAGUGACCGCUGUCGGUGCUUUCGACGGGGGUUUUGAAAUUACCAGCACCAUCUUUGGACCUUCGAGAAGUCAACUUUCAUUUGAUUUUCGACUUUAUAAACGCGGCUAGCCCACCGAAUUUUAUUAGGGGAAAAGCCCAUUCCUAAGUUGCCAAUGCCAUUAGAUUCUGACUGAUGGCUCGCCUGUUUAAUAAUUUUUUAGUGGCUGACCGACCGAUCCUCGAAGCAGCGGAUCAUGCAAAGCGUCAAAUAACCAAAUGGAAACUGGGUGCUAACUAUAUUUCUGACUGCUAGUCAACUGUCUGUGUGCCCCUCAUUUACGUAUAAAUGAGCACGAGACCAGCUUCUUAUUCAUCAACAUCAAAUCAGUUAUCUCGAAAGCUUCUCUUUAUUUCACAGAGCACAGAGCCAACUCCUGAUUCAUCAAUAUCAUAUUAGUUCUCUCUAAAGCUUCCCUUUAAUUUACGGUUUUAAACCUUCUCUAGUUCUAGUUUGUGAGUAAAUUAAGAGAGACCAAAAAUGAGUGUGGAGAUUUUGGAUGGUGCCACCAUUGUCAACUUUCUGGAGGACGAGGAAGCAUUCAACGCGCAAAUAUGUGACCGCUUCGCCCACCUUGAUUCAGACCAUGAUGGCCGGCUUUCCUACGGGGAAAUGUUGAAGGAGCUGCAGUGUUUGAGGUUAUUGGAAACCCACUUCGGCGUGGAUGUGGAAACAGACCCGGAUGAGCUUGCUCUCGUCUAUGGUUCUCUUUUUGUCCAAUUUGAUCAUGACUUGAAUGGGACAGUGGAGUUAGAAGAGUUCAAGUCAGAGACCAAGCAAAUGAUGCUAGCCAUGGCCACUGGUAUGGGUUUCUUGCCUGUUCAGAUGGUCCUGGAAGAAGACAGUUUCCUGAAGAAGGCUGUGGAGUGGGAAUCUACUAAACUCGUUGCCUGACUAAUUCCACAUCCAUUACCCUAUACAUGACUCAUUAAUUGUCUUCGUUAUUUCUUUCUUCUCCGAAUGCAUUCCAAGUUUAGCUGAAUGUAGCAAAGAAAAUAAAUGAAAUGCUCUGUUAUUGGUGCAAUUUGGCAUCUUAAAACUCGGUUCUCUCCUAAUGCAAUUUGGUCAUGACCAUCCAGCCAUAGUUAAUAUAACGAAAGGCUGACAGAAACACGAAUAUCUUUCCUCUUUCAAGAGGGCUUCAUCAACUAAUAGAUACAUGGGCAGAAGGAUUGAGCUGGAUGCAUCUCAGUCAUCGUUCAAAAUUUAGCUUCAAGGGAAUGGAAUUGGUAGAACAGAGUUGCAUCAGAAUGGAAAAAGAACUUGCGUGUGUCAGGUCCAGGGGAACAGAUAAAAAUUAAAGAAAUAACUGUCCUCGUAUAAAGUAUAGUUAAAUAAAAAUUUCGAGUCGAAUCUGUUGUGCGUCUGAAAACCUAAUUCCAUCAUGAUUUGUUUAGCAUGCGUAUGAAACAAACUUCCCGCAUUGAAAAGAGGGAAGCAAUUAUUUAAAACGGUAGAGAUUGCGUUUCAAUCAAAACGCAGGAGCCAAGCGUUUGGUAAUAUCAAAAACGCUAAAAAUGACCGGUGGGACCCAUGCCAAUUCAUGUUUUAAACGCGACAUUCGCGAAGCAGCUCUAGGCUGCUUUUUGAAAUUUUGUAUUCGCGUGCACAGUGCAAUUCACUUGCACUGUUCGGGUGAUUUUUUUUUAUUUUUUUUUUAGUGUGUAUAGUUUUUGUAUAUAUUUUUUUUUAAAAAAACUAGUUUUACAUUGUCAUGUAAACAAUAUUUUUUUUUCCUGAAAAACUAGUAUAGAGCGAAUUAAAUUCACUCGCACUGUAAUAUCAAAUUAAUUUUAUUCAUGAUAAUAUUUUAUCUAAUUUUAUUGCAAGCUCAAAAAAUUAUAGAAACUGUAGUUCUUGUCGAAUGAAUUUUGUACGUAAUGGAAUUGUAGAUGGUUUAAUGGCAUAAUAAAAAAUAUUUUAUAUAAAGUAUUAUUUAUUUCAUGAAGUAAUAGUAAUGGUUAAAUCUACAAUAUUUAAAUUAAAAAUCAUCAAUUUUAAUAUGUAUAUUUUAAUUAUUUUAUAAUCUCAAUUUGAAAAGUAUUUUUUUAACCAAACACAUUAAACUACUUUUUCUUCAACCUCAAUUUCAACCACAGUUUUAACCAAACACCUAUUUUUUCAAACCAACCUCAACUAAAAGUACUUUUUAUAAAACAACUUUUUUCAAAUCACAACCACAAAAGCUACCGCAAUACCAAACACACACUUAAUAUCCUAUAUAUGCAAAAACGCAACUUGAACGAAGAACCUGGAUGGUUAAAAACAACACACUUGCAGGCUUGUAGCUCCUGAUAUUUUCAGCCUCGUGUGAAGAUGGACAAUGAUGGUUGAAAAAUCUUUGUAUGUUUUAUCUAGGUAGAUUACUCAUAAUAAUAAGAUUAUUUUUAAAAAAUCUUUGUCUUUUUUACCUGGGUAGCUCAUCCAUUGUAAUAAGACUACUCGAAAAAAAUCUUUGUAUUUCUCUACUUGAAUAGGUCACCCAUUACAAUAAAACUACUUUGAAAAGACCUUUGAGUUUUUCAUUUGGGUGGGUCACCCAUGAUAAAUUGAACAUUUCAGAAUCUUUGAAUUCUACCAAUAGACAGGUUGCUUGGUACUACCAUAUCACUUCAAAAGUCUUUCACAAAGAUAAUCUUUUUCUUUAGAAACUCUAUCUCCUUUUUUUUCGAGUACACUUUCUAACCCUCAUUCUUCAGAUAGUGUGCUUUUUAUCCCUAUCUAUUUUUUUCUGAGUGCACUUUUAAGCCCUUACUACAAACAUUUUCAGAAAGAUUGACCAUUUCUUAAUAUGGUGAGUCCAUAAUCUCGUUCUUUUUCUUCAUCUUUACAAAACUUAUUGUCUAAAGUCUCUCACGAGACUUUCGUUAUAAAGAUUGUAAAGAGAGAGGCAACUGUCAUAACUCAUUUCUGGAUUAUUCCCUAAAUUCACAUUUUUUUUCUUUCCAAAAUAAAAGUCAAAAAAGAAAAUAAAGAAAGCAAGAAAACUAGCGACAUAUAGGAAUAUUAAGUUGUGACUUUGGAAGCCUAAUUGUAUCCUAUUUUACCCACAACUGGAGAGACAAUGUAAAUUAAAGGUCAAAUUAAAUGAUUAUUGGAUGAAUCUACUUAAAAAUUAAGCUUGAGGAUAUAAUUAGAAUUUUAAUAGGCCAAUUUGAUUUAAUCAUGGGCCAAAUUGAGAAUUUAAUUAUGUUUAAGAAUUAAUUUGGGUAAUUAAAGGAUUUAAUGAGGUGCAAGAACUUAAUUAUACUUUAAAUAGGUCAAAUUAAUUUUAUUAAGGGCUUAAUUGAUGAAAAUCUAAGUUUAGAAGCCCAAUUUGAGCUUAAUUGAGAAAAUUGGAAUUUUAGAAAACCAAAUAUAAUUUCCUUAAAGUCAAUUGGUUCAAAUUAGGGGUAAAAUCGCAAGAAAAACAAAUUUUUUUGGUCAAUUAAGGGUUAAAUUGAAGAGAUUUGCAACUAAGGACCAUUUUGCAAAACAUAUCGAACUAUGGGGUAAUUCAUGAAAAUCAGGGAUGAAAUUGAAGAAAAUUUAAAGUUUGAUGGUCAAAUUGCAUAAAUCCAAGACCAAGGAUCAAAUUGAAAAAGAUGCUAAAAUUCAGGGCUGAUAUUGAAAUCCAGCAAGGGCAAAAUUGUAUUAAAUCAAAAGUUUGGAGUCAAUUAGGGGUCAAAUUGAAAGAAAUCAAAAGCUGAAGGACCAAAUUGAACUUUGGAAAACUACCUUAAUUUAAGGUCCAAAAUGGAUUUGUUUUUUAACAUUAAAAAAAAAAGGCAACCAGACGACGCAUCGUCUAGUUAAUGUCCAUUGUCUUCUUCUUCUGACCCGAAAACGUUGUUUGGAUGGCUAUUUUUCAUGGGCAUUUAAUACUUCAUCUCUCAAUCAAACCGGACAAACCAUACACCACCAUGAUGAGCUGACAUUAUACUUCACCCCAGAGUGGAUCUCGCCGGCUAAUUAUCCCUACAGCCGCCACAGUGUCGCCUCAAAUUGGUCAAUCUAACUAACAUUUAGCAACCAGCUUUUUCAGGUCAUGAUAACAACUUUGAACCAACGGUUAAGAUCCUUCUGUGUCGAAUCAAGAGCCAAGAUUGGCACUAGUAAAGACAAGAUGUCCAUCUUCCAUGCCCCGAGCAUCAAGAAAUUAGAGCCCAAAUUUGGUGCAAAUAAGUUUUUCUUACCAGAUCUUUUGUUCUUCUCCACCAGCCAUCUUCUUCCUCUUCUUUCGCAACAUCUUCGCUUCUUUCGCAACAUCUUCGCUUCCAGCAAUGCUGCCAACAACACGUUGGCCUUCCUAGCAUUGCUAAUUAGCAAUCCCCCAUAGUUGGUAACCUUUUCUUCCCCUUUUUGGAUGCAAACGAGGCAGCCAUUUGUAAGCAUAACAUUUGGUUCUGCAUGCAAAAUUCAACCACUUCAUAUGGUCAUUGGGUCGGGCCAAUGACCAUGUGAAGAUAGGUUGGACCCCUUCCAACCCAACCCAUGAUGGCUUGGUUAAGUACAGCCCAUAAAAAAGGAUGAAGGCCAGGUCUGUUGGGCUGCCUGGCGCCACGACCUGACCCGGCAAGGUCCGGCCCAAAUGGCUGGGUAGGGCCCAGCCCAAUAUAUAUAAUAAUAAUAUUAAAAUAAAAAUAAAAACUUUGAAAGCCCUUCCAAAAAAUUUGUGAUUUUCUCGCACGUUUUUCUAUCAAUUUUGCAUAAUAUCGGGCUGUAUAAUUACACUAUAUGAUACAUAUCCGAUAUUAAAACACCUAGUUUUUUCUGAAACAUUUCAAAAUAAAAUUCAAAAUUUUUUAAAUUAAUUUCCUCUUUCAAAAAAACAAAAAAUGUUUUGUUUUCAUGCAUAUAGUCAAAUCCUCAAAGUUUUCCAAGCAUGUUUUCAAAAAAAAAAAACAAAAAAUUGUAUUUUUCUCAUGUUUUAAAAUAUAAAAUAGAUAUCAUAACUAAUUUAUAAUUAUCCAUUAGGGUUUAACCAAAAUGUCAAAAACCCUUCACCAAUUAUUUUUUUCAUUUUAUAUUAUGGUUUAAAUGUAGACUUAAAUAUUUGGGGGCGUAAAACUAUACAGUAGAGUAUACCCUCAGGUAUUAAAGACAAAAGUUCAAUAUAAAUGCGAUACUAAAAUUUAGACUUUAGAACGGUUGGAUUUAACAUCAUAAGGUAUAGAUUUUGUCAUGAAGAGAGAUCUAUCUUAAACCUUAGACGAUUUCAACGAAUAGAAACUUAACUUAGAAUAACAAUCAAAAAACAAUGUACCUUACUUCAGGUAGGCUGCACUGGAGAUAAUGCGUCUUUUCCUUACACAAUCAGUCUCUUACUCAGACUCUCACAGACUAUAUGUUUCCUAGUAACCAUUAUAUUAAAUGGUGACUCUUAAAUCUUAAUUAUAAUUUUAUGCUUACAUCAAAAACUCUUUUUUUUUCUAACAAUACCUUUCAAGAGGCACUUAAAACGCGUCGUUUGACGUCGCCUGUGACAUAAUCCAUUAAACAUGAAAUGGAAAUAAAUAAGUAAAGAAUAUUGCAAGCAUCAAGUUGUCUAUCUCCGAAAAAAAAAAAGAAGAAGAAAAAUUUUGGAACCUUAAUUAAGUUUGUUUAAAUCUCUAUCACACCCAUUAUUUAAUGUUUGACAAACAACACAUGUAGAAUAGGUGAAACCAAACCUACAGUACAAUAUUUGCAUUUUUGUUGUGUUGUGAGAAAAAAAGAAAAGAAAAAGAACAUGGUCUGUCUCGGAAGGAGAAGGGAAAUUGACCGUUGUCGCUGCUUUUGACAGGGGGUUUGAAAUUAGCAACACCAUCUUGGGACCUUCGAGCAAGUCAACUUUCAUUUAAUUUUCGACUUUAUAAACACGGCUAGCCCACCGAAUUUUAUUAGGGGAAAAGCCCGUUCCCAAGUUGCCAUUGCCAUUAGAUUAUGACUUAUGGCUCACCUGUUUAAGAUAGUUCUAAUAAUAAAAUUUUAGUGGCUGACCGACCGAUCCUCGAAGCAGCAGAUUCUGCAAAGCGUCAAAAAACCAUGCAGCAAAGGGUAAUUAGAAGCAAGUCAGAAAAGCAAAAACCAAAUGGAAACCGGGUGCUGACUGCUCGUCAACUGUCUGUGUGCCCCUCAUUUACGUAUAAAUAAGCACAAGACCAACUUCUUAUUCAUCAACAUCAAAUCAGUUAUCUCGGAAAGCUUCUCUUUAUUUCACAGAGCACAGAGCCAACUCCUGAUUCAUCAAUAUCAUAUUAGUUCUCUCUAAAGCUUCCCUUUAAUUUACGGUUUUAAACCUUCUCUAGUUCUAGUUUGUGAGUAAAUUAAGAGAGACCAAAAAUGAGUGUGGAGAUUUUGGAUGGUGCCACCAUUGUCAACUUUCUGGAGGACGAGGAAGCAUUCAACGCGCAAAUAUGUGACCGCUUCGCCCACCUUGAUUCAGACCAUGAUGGACGGCUUUCCUACGGGGAAAUGUUGAAGGAGCUGCAGUGUUUGAGGUUAUUGGAAACCCACUUCGGCGUGGAUGUGGAAACAGACCCGGAUGAGCUUGCUCUCGUCUAUGGUUCUCUUUUUGUCCAAUUUGAUCAUGACUUGAAUGGGACAGUGGAGUUAGAAGAGUUCAAGUCAGAGACCAAGCAAAUGAUGCUAGCCAUGGCCAAUGGUAUGGGUUUCUUGCCUGUUCAGAUGGUCCUGGAAGAAGACAGUUUCCUGAAGAAGGCUGUGGAGUGGGAAUCUGCUAAACUCGUUGCCUGAUUAAUUCCACAUCCAUUACCCUAUACAUGACUCAUUAAUUGUCUUCGUUAUUUCUUUCUUCUCCGAAUGCAUUCCAAGUUUAGCUGAAUGUAGCAAAGAAAAUAAAUGAAAUGCUCUGUUAUUGGUGCAAUUUGGCAUCUUAAAACUCGGUUCUCUCCUAAUGCAAUUUGGUCAUGACCAUCCAGCCAUAGUUAAUAUAACGAAAGGCUGACAGAAACACGAAUAUCUUUCCUCUUUCAAGAGGGCUUCAUCAACUAAUAGAUACAUGGGCACAAGGAUUGAGCUGGAUGCAUCUCAGUCAUCGUUCAAAAUUUAGCUUCAAGGGAAUGGAAGAACAGAGUUGCAUCAGAAUGGUAAAAGAAUUUGCGUGUCAGGUCCAGGGGAAUAGAUGAAAAUUAAAGAAAUAACUGUCCUCAUAUAAAGUCUAGUUAAAUAAAAACUUCGAGUCGAAUCUGCGGUGCGAUUUAACUAGAUUUUGCGAUCUAAACACCAGAUUCCAUCAUGAUUUGUUUAGCAUGCGUAUGAAACAAACUCCCCGCAUUGGAUCAAAAAACAAUGACAUCUCAGGAGAUGGAAUGAAGGAGAGAAUGCUUUCGCCAAACAGCUCAAACAGGGAUACCAGAAGAUGCCCAUUAUUCAAGUCUUCGUUCAAACCUUGUUGAGAAUGUGAUGCGGAACAAUAAAUCAAAAAAUAAAAUAAAAAAUUAAAGCAGUAAAGAAUGAAGCCUUAAAGAAAUAAGUUAAGAAAUAAAAGUAAAGAAAGGGUAAAGCAAAAAAAAAAAACAGAGAGAAUUCAGGAAGAAAAGUCUAUCAUUUUUAUUUAAUCAUAACAAACUUUUGCAAAAACUAAAAGAGAAAUAUAUAAAUAGCAUAACCCUAAAACAUCCGUUUAUUGGGUUCAACUCAUCAAUUAAAAUUUUCUAGUAUAAAUAAGUCAAAUAAAUAAAAUAAAACAAUGAAAUAGGCCCAAAUGGACUCAAUCUUCCAACCAAAGAGUAACAUGCUAGGCCAUUCUAUGUCGUCUCUGUCCAUAUACUCGUGUAAUUUGCAGUGUGGGUCUAGAGUCCCCACCAACUCUCCCAGUGUAGCUCUGGAUGACCCUAAUAGCACUUCCAAAAAUUUGGAUCAAUCUGCUGCAAAGUAUCUAUAGUGAUCCAAAUACAAUUUGAAUCAGGUUGGCCCACCCAAGAAUUAGAAACCGUUGAACCUCACUAUUCCUAGUAAAAAAAACUUGUUCAACCAUAAUGACAUCAAUAUUAUCUUUUUGUGUUUAGAUCAAGGUCAAAGGGGUAGAAGUUUUAAUAAGAUCAUCAAGAGGAGAGUUAGGUGGCAUCUCAAAGGGAUCAUUUGGAAUAGGAUGUUGUUUCUGGUACGCAACUAAAUCCGCAAUGUUAAAUGUAAAGUUAAUGCUAAAAUCAAGUGGUAAAUCAAGAACACAAGCAUUUGGACCAACCCCUUGUAGCACUUUGAAUGGCCCUGCACUACGUGCAUGCAAUUUUUGAUUAGUUCCUAAAGGAAACUGCUUAUGUCUAUUUCGUAUCAUAACUUAGUCUCCUACAUUAAAUUUAUUAUAUCAUCUAUGUAAAUAAGCUUAGAGUUUAUAUUGUGCAUUACUUGUUUGAAUCUGCUUAGUGAUCUCAAUAUGCAAAUUCUAAAUUUUACGUGUAAAAAACUUUGCUAACUCAAACACCUUAGCAUGAAGAGACAUGGGAAGAACGUUUAAAGGUUUCCUAGGCUUGUAACCAUGUACAACUUCAAAGGGAAUCAUGCCAUUUGACAUAUUGACAAAACUAGUAAAUGCAAACUAGGUCAUAGGAAGAACCAAAUCCCAAUUUCUAUUAUGAUAACUCACUAGACACCUCAAAAGGUUGCCUAAUCUGGGUGGUAGGCACUAGAAAACUUCAACUUAGUUCCCACUAUAUGGCGAAGGGUUUUCUAGAAAUAACUCGUAAAUCUAACAUCCUUAUCUAAGACUAUGGUUUGGGGAAAAUCAUACAGCUUGACAAUCUCGUUAAAAUAGAGUUCCCCAACUCUAGAAGCAUCUGUGGUCUUAGUAAAAAGGAUAAAAUGAUCCAUUUUAGAGAAACGGUCAACAACCAUAAAAAAUGAAUCACGCUUCUUUGCAGUACGUGGAAGUCGACACACAAAAUCCAUACUUACAUUUUGCCAAGGGCAAGUAAAACAGGUAACGGGGUGUAAAGACCACUAUUUUGUUUUUCAGACAAUUGUAUAUUAAUGUUAUUGUUAUUAUAUUAUAGUCUACAUCUCUUUUCAAACUAGACUAAAACAAAUUGAUGUUCCCUCUUUUAAAUGGGUUUAUUUCUUCCAAAAUGUUCUGAAAGACCUUCAACAUGAAUCUCUCAUAUCAAAAAUUCACACACGGAUGUUUUCGAGAUAUAAAGCUUAUUAUCCCAAAACAAAUACCCUUCUUUGAGGUGAUAACUAUCUACAACAUGGUUAUUCUCAUCUCUCGAAGUCAUAUAUACUUCUCUAAAUUCUGAGCAAGAUUCAUACUCCUCUUUGAGCCUCUCAAAUCCAGUAACUUCUCAUUACGGAUAACAGUGUUACUCGACGAUUCAAGGCAUCUGCCGUUUUAUUCUAGAUUUAUGUUUCAAAACAAAUGAAUAACCUUGCAAAUAUUCAACCCAAUGACCAUGCCUAUUUCAACUGCAAAUAGAGAAAAGGAACAGACUAUGCGUUUCUAAGGCAAAUAAGGAGCAUAAACAAGUUGUUUUCCAACCCGGUGAUUGGGUUGGGUGCACAUGCAUAAGGAACAAUUUCCUAACCAAAGGAAAUCAAAAUUACAUCCUCGUAGUGAAGACCCAUUUUAGAUUUUUAAAGAGGAUCAAUGACAACGCAUUCAAAAUUGAUCUUUUAGGUGAAUAUGGUGUUACUGCUACCUUUAAAGUUGUUGAUCUUACUUUGUUUGACAUAGGUUUUGAUUCGAGGUUGAAUCCUUUCGAGGAGAGAGGGGAUGAUGUGGAUCAGCCCACAAACUCCAGCAAGAACCCAUUACAUGUUCUAAAUGGGCUAAUGACUCGGGGUAAGACAUAGGCAUUGAAAGAGGCAUUGAAUGCAUUGGUUUUGAAUGUUUCGACCAAGUCAAAUUUGAAGGGUCCAUUGGAGUAUCAAGAGAAGGCCUUAGUACAUCUUAUCCAUGUGCAAAAAGGACCUAAUCUAACCUUAUUUGGGCCAUGAGGUUUCGGUAAUAAGGUUGCCACUUUUCCAAAUGUUCGGUCAGUCUUGUUUUUAUAAUGUUUCUAUGUAUUUUUUAGAUUCCUAAUUAGUUUUGGACUUGCUAUUAUGUAUUAGAACAUUAAUUAUUUCCUUUAAGUAUUAGAAUUUAUUAUUUUAUUUAUUUUCUUGUUAGGUGAGGAGAAAACACAACAAAGAAAACAAAAAAAUCCAAGUUGACUUAGGAAGUGGCGGCAAAGCUUCCUAAUUAUGCAAGGAGAUUAUUCCAAUAACUUCAAUUAUGUUUCCUAAUAUUACAAGGAUCCUAAGAGGUGGCAAAAGAAGGGAAUUAAUACCUUAAAUUACUUUCCUUUCAAAAUAAGAAAAAAAAACAUAAGUUUAAGAUCAAAAUCCUACUACAACUUGCAAACAACAUAGGCGGCUACCUUUCCUUUAGUUUCAAGGAUUAAUGAGAUGUAUGGAAGAUUAUAAAUAAGCCUUGAAUCAAUUUUGUAAUAUUUUCUUUCCUUCUCUUCUUCUCACGGUGAAAUAAAGAUUUAAUAUUAUAGGCUUUUUUAUAUUUUGUUUAGGCUUAAUUAAUAUAUAUAUUUUUAGCUAGGAUCCAAGGCUUGUUUGGAUUAGGGUUUGGGUUUACUAGUAAAGGUUUUGGGUCAGUUUUUAUAUGUGGGUCAGUUUAGCCCCCAAGGGUGGAUUCAUUUAGGUUAAUUUUUUAGAACUAUUUAAACACAUGAAAGCCUAAAUUUCAGCAGCGAUUGAUGAAUAAUACUUAUGAAUUUUUCAAUUUUAACGUGUGAGAGAGAUUCUUGUAUUUUUUGGUUCUUGAACGAAAUGAAUCUAACUUCUCAAAGAUUAAUUGGCUUCAUGGCGUCAUUCGACAUCAUUCCAAUAAUGUUGGUGUCUUAGGACAGGUUCCUAUUGUGUGACACUCCUAUCAGAUCAAUUUUGUCUUUUUAGGAUCAGAUCUCAAUCUUGAAUGUGGAUUGUGUGACCACGUAAUCACGAGGUUCACAUCAGUGUUCAAGAGAUGCUAAUAAAUAUCUUUGAGUGGUAAAGGUAUGUCAAUAUUUGAUACGAGCACUUGAGCAUCCGAUGACAUAAUGAGAUCCAAUUGGACAAGACUCCUAAUCUGAGAGCCAUUUCCCUAUUCAUAUUCUAUCAUGACUUUAGAGUUCACAUUUGGGGUUUCCUCGAAGGUGAUCCAUCUUGCCUCAAUAAGUUUGAGGAACUUGUCUUUAAAAGCAUAACAACUUUGAAUGUUAUGACCACUAGUGCCAUCAUGAUACUCACAUAUCUAGUUAGGAUCAUACCAUUUUAGAUAUAGGGGUUGAAAUGGUUUCUAGAGAAUCAAAAUAAUUUGUCGAAUAUUGACCAAUAUUUUAAAUAUCUCCUUAAAAGAUAAAGGAAAGGGCGAUAGAGUUUUCUUUAACUACUGUGACUUUUCAUAUAUUUGCUUUUUAGAUCGAACCUAAUUAGCCAUUUGAGGAGAAUGAUUCGGAUGCUAAGAUACAUGAUGAUCUUAAUUCAUACUUCCCAUAUGGAAGCUAUCUUCUAUUUUGUCAAAUGACAUAGUAUUAAACCUAUCUUCUUAAUUCCAUAUCCUUCUCAAUUUCAAUCCUUGCUCCACCCUCUCUGCUGUCAUUAUUAUCUCUAUAAAAUAAGUUGAUCAAUUACAAGUUAUGUAAUCACAAUAAUGAGUCUUUAAAGUAUUGAUGAAGAUGGAAUUGAUCUCAUUUUAUAGUAGUGGAGCGUAAACUUGUGUUUCCAUUUCUCGCAGCCUCAUCGCAUAUUCCUUGACUGACUCAUCAUUUCUCAUCUCAAUUCUUUGAAUGUCUAACCUGGUUAGAGCCAUCUUUAAGUUGAAUCCAAAUUAUUGCAGAAAUGCAUCAGCCAAGUAUUCUCAUUUCUUCUUUUCAGAGCCAUUUAAAUCCAAGUUGGGUUUUAAAAUUAUGAUAAUAAUCAUUUUUAUCCUUACAUGUCUUAUUUGUACAAUUUUGAAAUUGAGAGUUUUUUACAAGGAUAUUUUAGAAAUAAAAAAUAACAAAUAUUAUUUCUAGAGACAUGUCCUCUAUGUACCUUCUAUUUUGAAAGUAUAGACAUUCACUCCAAAAUUAUCCGAGAAACAUAUUUCUUUUUAUGUUUUUAUCUCUUUAACAAAACAUAUUUAUGUCUUCAUUGUCUUCGUAUGUUCUGUCUCAGGACAGUAACCAAACACUACCUAGUAUACACUAUUUAAACUAUUUUUAAUGAUUUGGAUAUUAAUUAUCUUUUUUGAAUAAAAUUUCAAGAGUCAAGUUUCUCUAUACAACUUCACUGUUAUUAUUGUUCCAAGGGUUUUUGAGAAAUAAUAAACCCUAAUACUUCUAGUAAGCUGCAUCAUUUGUAUAAAGAAAGCAUCAUUGUUAACUGGAAUAUUUUAAAAGCUUAAACACCUAAAAAAAGUUAGACUGACAAAUAGACUCCUAAGCAACUAAAUGCUUUUCCUAUGACCCUUUGAAUUACCCUAUCAUAAUAGAAAGUGAUUCAUCAUGCUAAAGAUAAUCGAGUCGUCUGCCAACCUUGCACUCCAUUCUGAACUUUUUCCACCACUAUACUAUAUGUAUUUGUUAACAAGCACAUGUAACAUAGGAACUCCAAAAUAUUACCAAAUAUUUUCUAUUAAAGCAAACCCUAAAUAUGAAUUGAUAUCACGAGUCACCCUUAGACGAAUAAAACAAUCUGGUUUUAGCCACACUAACAUUUUUUUACCAAAAAGUUACAAAAGUCAUGUAUGAUAACUUUGAUUUGCUUCAAAUCAGGUUUUGCAAAAAAGAAUUGUCACCAACAAAUACAGAUGACAACUUCACCCGACUCGUUUGGAAUCUAGUGUCAUUCAAUUCGGUUGGAUCAUAUUUUUAUCCAAUUUUAUUUGAAAAAUAAAUAAAAUUCAAUUCAAUUUGACUAAAGAUAGAUGCGGAGGUUAAUAAAUGGUUCACUUAACCCAUCACUUGACUCAACUUUUACGUGGUUUUUUAACCCUUUUAUAUUUUAUAGAGUUGUAAUUUAUAUUUCAAUAUAGUAUAUGGAUUUUUAUCCCAUUAUUCACGGAGGAUUGUUAUGGUUUUACAUGUAGAUGUAAAGUUUAGACUCUAUUUUAUUGUUUUAUGAUUUAUAGAUGGAUAUAUUUUUUUUUUAAGCUUCAAUUUUAUUUUUUAAAAUUUGAUUAAAAAUAUAACAAUUGGAUCAAAUGAGGUACUUGUCGAAUGAAGAAAGUUCUUCAUCCAAUCCAAUCGUAUACAAGAUGAAGUCAAGUGCUGGAUUUAGAUAUCUCUGGUUAGAGAUGGGGGAGCAAAAUUCAGUCGCAACCCAAUCUUUAUCGUUCUUGUAAAUAAAGAAAGGAUGAGAAAUAAUCAAACCCCUUUACUAAAAUAGACAAAUUCAUUCUCUAGUCUCAACCGUAUUGGAUCAAUUUUUCCAUACAUAAAACAAAGGUAUAAGAAUAAAGGAUCGUCAUAUUGAAUACCUUGUGAUGAAGUAUAGGAAUUUGAAAUCUUAGCUUUCCAACUCACUUAUAACAAGGUUACUGUGAUACGCUUCAUGAUUAAGGAUGUGAAACUAUCCAAAAUACCAUAUCCCUAAUAACGUUUAGGAUCAAGUCCUACCUCAAACAAUCAUAAACCUUUUUUAGGUCUAUCUUAAUCAUCAUCAGAUAUAUUCUAAUUUUCUUUUCUACAUCUAGAGUUAAGAGCCAAUCAUACAAUCAUAGUGGUAUUAUUGUGCUUCUUUGAAACAAAACACUGGUACUGACUAGCGAAUAUGUGCCAGUCAAGAGUAUUUGCCAUGAAACUCUGUAUAAACUUCUUAAUUGGUUAGCAUUCUUACUUCAAUGUAAUUAAUGUUUUUACAUUCUGAAACUCUUAUUUGAAGCACAUCACGCAAUGCUUUCUUUAGACCUAACUUUUCUUAUAUACAUGUCUUAUGUGAUAAGGAUAAGGAAAAUCUUCAAUUUUCCUAGUUUGUCAUGUUGGUAACAGACUGUUAACGUGUUUUGACAAAAACAAUGAUAAAGUUAUCUUCAGAUUACUUUUUCUACUUUAUAUUAACUUAUCUCUUAAAUAAUCUAAACUAAUCAAAUAAUUACAGAGAAGAUAAUACUAACUAAUCUUGAUAAACUUCUAUCUUAGCUAAAUUAUCCUUUUACCAACCAUAAAAAGAUCUUCACUAAUCUAAACUAAUAAAAUGACAUUUAUUACAAAGUUGAUCCCGUUAUUCUCUUAGGUUAUUAUUAGAUGGGGGAAAGUAAAGGUCUAAAGGCAAAAUGUCAAAACUUCUAUAUUUAAAAUUAGUUGAAAAUCAUACCUUGUUUUCUCUGUAAGUGGCAUGUUGAUGACAACUAUGUCAUAUUUAGAAAGCAUUGAAUCUAGAUCCUCCUCAAACUUUGCUCCUGUUUGAUUCUCCAACUCUGUCUUCAUCUUAAGUCUAUCAUGAUACAGUAGAGUGCAAUUGAAAGGUUUCAAACGUUAGAGUAAAAGCCUUCUGAUGCAUCUAGCACCAACAGUUUCCACUGUCUUUCCUUCAAGAUCGUAAGCCCUGUAUGUAAUAACUGCCACAUUCUACUUCCCAUUGAUUGAUGACUUAUGAUAUCCAGGUAAGAAAUAUCAUACAAGAACAAGGAUUCUCAUGAGCUCAUCUUUUGCAACUGGGACAACAUUGCUUCUUGUGACCUCUGCAGUAGUUAACCAGGUAGCAGCCGCUGCCUUCAAAUCUCUAUGAUCAGAACCAAUUCCAGCAGUGAGAAGAGGUUUGUUGCCCUCUUGAUCAUUUAUGUCGUAACAUACGCAGGGUGGAAAGGUGUAGUGAUGAGGACAUGGAGAUAAGGAAUAUGCUUGUCAAGUUCUGUGACAAUUACACAGUCGAAGAGCAAAAAAUCAACAAACUGGCCAUCCUAAUAAUCUUGGAAAUAAAAGGCACAAAUUGAGCAUCUUGAAAUCAUUUAAUGUCAUCACUACGAUUAGGACAUGGAGAUCAGCAGUAGAUCUUGUUGUUCUCUUAGGUCAUUAGGGAAAGUAAAGGUCUAAAGGCAAAAGAUCUAAACUUCUAUAUUUAAAAUUAGUUGAAAAUCAUACCUUGUUUUCUAUGUAAGUGGCAUGUUGAUGACAAUUAUGUCAUAUUUAGAAAGCAUUGAAUCUAGAUCCUUCUCAAACGUUACACUUGUCUGAUUCUCCAAUGUGGCUCUAUGUUAAGUCUAUCAUGAUACUGUAUAGUGCAAUUGAAAGGCUUCAAACGUUGGAGUAAAAGCCUUCUGAUGCGUCCAACACCAACAAUUCCCAUUGUCUUUCCUUCAAGAUCAUAAGCCCUGUAUGCAAUUGCUACCACAUUCCACUCCUCAUUGAUAACUUGAUGAUAUCUAGGUAAGAAAAUUCAUACAAGAACAAGGAUUCUCAUGAGCUCCUCUUCUCCAACUGAGACAACAUUGAAAAUAGGGAAACACUCAAUAUCCUAUAGAUGCAGGAACACAACUUGAACAAAGAACCUAAAUGCUUAAAAACAACACACUUGCAGGCUUGAAGCUCCUUAUAUUUUUAGCCUCGUGUGAAGAUGUGGACAAUGAUUGUCAACGGUGAUCAUAUGCUAUAUUUUCAGCCUCUUGUUCAAGGUAAUUCUAUUGAGGAUUAAAUACUUACUCAUCUUAUAUCUUUCUAUAUGGAGGCCUAUUUUAGUUUAUGUUAUGUCAGGUGCGUGUUAUGUCAGGUGCAUCCUCCAUGAAGAAAAAAAAUGAAAAAAUUCAGUUAGAACCAUAAUUAAGUUUGUUUAAUUCUCUAAGACAACUAUAUGCCCAUUAUUUAAUGUUUGACAAACAACACAUGUAGAAUAGACAACUAUAUGCCCGUAUUUUCAUUUUUGUUGUGUAUUGCGGGGAAAAAAAGAAGAAGAAGAAGAAAAAGAACAUGGUCGGUCCGUCUUACAAGGAGAAGGGAAAGUGACCGCUGUCGGUGCUUUCGACGGGGGUUUUGAAAUUACCAGCACCAUCUUUGGACCUUCGAGAAGUCAACUUUCAUUUGAUUUUCGACUUUAUAAACACGGCUAGCCCACCGAAUUUUAUUAGGGGAAAAGCCCAUUCCUAAGUUGCCAAUGCCAUUAGAUUCUGACUGAUGGCUCGCGUGUUUAAUAAGUUUUUAGUGGCUGACCGACCGAUCCUUGAAGCAGCGGAUCAUGCAAAGCGUCAAAUAACCAAAUGGAAACUGGGUGCUAACUAUAUUUCUGACUGCUAGUCAACUGUCUGUGUGCCCCUCAUUUACGUAUAAAUGAGCACGAGACCAGCUUCUUAUUCAUCAACAUCAAAUCAGUUAUCUCGAAAGCUUCUCUUUAUUUCACAGAGCACAGAGCCAACUCCUGAUUCAUCAAUAUCAUAUUAGUUCUCUCUAAAGCUUCCCUUUAGUUUACGGUUUUAAACCUUCUCUAGUUCUAGUUUGUGAGUAAAUUAAGAGAGACCAAAAAUGAGUGUGGAGAUUUUGGAUGGUGCCACCAUUGUCAACUUUCUGGAGGACGAGGAAGCAUUCAACGCGCAAAUAUGUGACCGCUUCGCCCACCUUGAUUCAGACCAUGAUGGCCGGCUUUCCUACGGGGAAAUGUUGAAGGAGCUGCAGUGUUUGAGGUUAUUGGAAACCCACUUCGGCGUGGAUGUGGA
rnacentral:lncRNA from 1 species